rnacentral:rRNA from 1 species
UACGUAGGGUGCGAGCGUUAAUCGGAAUUACUGGGCGUAAAGUGUGCGCAGGCGGCCGAGCAAGUCGAGUGUGAAAGCCCCGAGCUUAACUUGGGAAUUGCGCUCGAAACUACUUGGCUGGAGUGUGGCAGAGGAAGGUGGAAUUCCAGGUGUAGCGGUGAAAUGCGUAGAUAUCGGGAGGAACACCAGUGGCGAAGGCGACUUCCUGGCCUGUUCUUGACGCUGAGGCGCGAAAGCUAGGGGAGCAAACGGG